UAGGGAAUAUUGCUUAAUGGUCGAAAGCCUGAAGCAGCAACGCCGCGUGUGCGAUGAAGGCCUUCGGGUUGUAAAGCACUUUUUGAGGGGAUGAGGAAGGACAGUACCCUCAGAAUAAGUCUCGGCUAACUACGUGCCAGCAGCCGCGGUAAAACGUAGGAGGCGAGCGUUAUCCGGAUUUACUGGGCGUAAAGCGCGUGCAGGCGGCUCGAAAAGUUGGAUGUGAAAGCUCCUGGCUUAACUGGGAGAGGUCGUUCAAUACUUUCGGGCUUGAGGAUGGGAGAGGGAGGUGUAAUUCCGGGUGUAGUGGUGAAAUGCGUAGAUAUCCGGAGGAACACCAGUGGCGAAGGCGGCCUCCUGGCCCAUUUCUGACGCUCAGACGCGAAAGCUAGGGUAGCAAACG
rnacentral:rRNA from 1 species